rnacentral:rRNA from 1 species
GACGAACGCUGGCGGCGUGCUUAACACAUGCAAGUCGAACGGAAAGGCCCUUCGGGGUACUCGAGUGGCGAACGGGUGAGUAACACGUGGGUGAUCUGCCCUGCACUUUGGGAUAAGCUGGGAAACUGGGUCUAAUACCGAAUAUGAUCAUGCUCUUCAUGGGGUGUGGUGGAAAGCUUUUGCGGUGCGGGAUGGGCCCGCGGCCUAUCAGCUUGUUGGUGGGGUAAUGGCCUACCAAGGCGACGACGGGUAGCCGGCCUGAGAGGGUGACCGGCCAGACUGGGACUGAGAUACGGCCCAGACUCCUACGGGAGGCAGCAGUGGGGAAUAUUGCACAAUGGGCGCAAGCCUGAUGCAGCGACGCCGCGUGAGGGAUGACGGCCUUCGGGUUGUAAACCUCUUUCAGCACAGACGAAGCGCGAGUGACGGUAUGUGCAGAAGAAGGACCGGCCAACUACGUGCCAGCCGCCGCGGUAA